GAACAGUCACUGAAGGCAUUUAAGUAAGUUGCAUGAGAAAAUAACAGAUUCCCAUGGCUCUUAAUCUUGCUACAUUGCCAUGAUGGUUAAUAUUGAGUAUCAACUUGAUGGAAUUGAAGGAUGCAAAGUGUUGUUCCUGGGUGUGCCUGUGAGAUUGUUGCCAAAGGAGAUUAACAUUUGACUCGGUGGAUUGGGAAAGGCAGACCCACCCUCAAUCUUGAGUGGGCAUAAUCUAAUUGGCUGCUAGUGUGGCCAGAAUAAAAGUAGCAGAAGAAUGUGAAAAGACUAGACUGGCUUAGUCUUCCAGCCUACAUCUUUCUCCCGUGCUGGGUGCUUCCUGCCCUCAAACAUUGGACUCCAAGUUCUUCAGUUUGGGGAAUUGAACUAGCUUCCUUCCUCCUCAGCUUGCAGACAGCCUACUGUGGGACCUCACCUCAUGAUCAUGUGCUCAUGGCCUGCUGAAGACUGAUGUUGGAACAGAAGAGCUGAGAAACACACCUGCCCCUACCUCAAGCCCUGCACCAAGUAAAAGUCAGCAGCAAUAUACCCUGGGGAAAGGGCUAGAGUGUGGCUGGAGAUCUUGCUGAAAGCUGGAGGUGGAGGAGGAAUACAAAGAUAAGAUUUUAGGACUCCAGGCUUCACAACUCCUUCUACAUCUGUUGUUCAAGGUUCAGACUCAAUAUGCAACUAAUUUAUGAAGCCCGUUUAGACCACAACAACCCUGAUGCAAGAUGUUCUCCACUAUGUUAAGAUGCAGCAUGAAGCCCUUACCAGAAGCUAAGAGUAUUCCGUUAGAGCAACACAAAACAGACUAAGACAACUUGUUCAUUACUGAUGUACAGAUUUCACUGACCAGCAACACUCCAGUGAAACUGCAGUCAAAAUUUAUGGAGUCUGCAGUAAAUAUGAAGCUAAAGUAACAGGCAAUGAAGAGCUCACCUGCUGCCUCCAGGGCUGCUUAACAUGCUGCAACCAGGCUGAAUGGUGCAUAUUGGACUGGAACCUGGAUCCUUGAGUAAAUGAAAGGAGAAAAGCCCCUAUCCAGUAUAUCAGAUUUGUGUAAACCAAAAAAUAAACUUUCAAUAUGGUAACUAAACUGGAAUAACGCAUAUGACGGGGGAGAGUUCCCUGACCCUCUUGCGAGUCUUGCCACAGGGAGGGUGUGGAGGGUUGGUGGUAGCUUGUUUUGCUUUGUUGCUGAACUCAAGCCCCUUGCAGGAGUGGGAGCAUGCAGCACUCUCCAGGAAAAGCUGCCUGCUAGAUAACAUGAAGACACGCCAGCAGCCUCAUGGGGGUGGAGGGAAGAGAGGCCUCAUGGUGAGGGACUGAGGCCUCCUACUAAAAGCCAGCACUAACUUGUCAGGCAUGAAAGUGAGCCACCUGGAAGCACAUCUUCAGCCCCUGUGGACCCUUUAGAUGACUGCAGGCCCUGCUGACAUCUUGACUGAAACCUCAUGAGACAGCUAGAACCAGAAUCGCCCAGAGAGAAGAACAUCAAAGGUGCGGGUUUAGGGCCCAGAAAGCCACUGGCCCCUUAAUAUCCAGAAAAGGACAAAAACUCACGGGAGUCAAGCACUGUUUGCCUGGAAGAAGAAAGAUAAAGACACAGACAAGCCCUGCUCCCCCACCAGCCAAAACUACUAUUCUACCUGUUUCCUGAUUCUGACCCACGUAUAUUCACUUGUUUCAUCAUUUUCUCAUUCAAAAAUAUAUUCAUUCAAUUAAUAAUGAUUUACUGAGUGUGUAUUAUGUAGCCAGUGCUUGCAUGGAACUCAGAUUACAGCUGGAAAUGAAACAGAUCUGGUCUUACACCCUCUGUACAUCUUCUUCCUCCUGUUACCACUCUAUCCUGUCUUCAACCUCAACUUCACUACUAAUUUCAUACUUAA
rnacentral:lncRNA from 10 species